GGAAAUCUCACCAGGCCCGGACACUGGAAGGAUUGACAGAUUGAUAGCUCUUUCUUGAUUCGGUGGGUGGUGGUGCAUGGCCGUUCUUAGUUGGUGGAGUGAAUUGUCUGGUUAAUUCCGAUAACGAGUGGAGCCUGUGGCUUAAUUUGACUCAACGCGGGAAAUCUCACCAGGCCCGGACACUGGAAGGAUUGACAGAUUGAUAGCUCUUUCUUGUUAGCAAUAA
rnacentral:rRNA from 1 species